UACCCUCAUUCAAGCACUGCUGUGAUCCCUUUCCAAUUGUACACGCGAAGUGAAGAGUUCACCCGAACGUCCCCAGGCCCCACUUAUGGAGUGGAGUAUGGGUAAUGGCUUUUUUUCCCCCCAUACCACUUCUGAGGACACCCGUCAUCCAUCCUGCUACCCUCUCUCCUGAACGUAUUUCCCCAGAGCACCUGACAUACAAUUAAACACAUCGACUGCCCCACUGAAGCCUCUCCUCGUCAAGAACAUGAGCAGCCACUGCAGAUGGACCGCAACUCAGAGUUGGACUCCUGGGAGAACAUUUUGGGGCUGGAAGAUGGCUACCGCAACACGAGUGCUUUAACUUAAGCUCUAGCAUCCAAUUAGUUCCGCCACCUAUCGGACUGAAUAUUCUGAUGAUUGCACUGGUUCAGAGGCUAGUCUGUGUAGGUGCUUAAGAGGGAGUAUGCAUUCACAGAGGACCAUACUGUAGUUAUGUAAGUUCGCGGUUCUUUGCCUACUCCACCUCAGCAACAUUGACAGGGGCAAAGGGAGGGAUUGUAUGGGCAAUCAGACUGGCCCUGUAGCCAACCACUUGCUCAGCUGUACCAGGUCCUCAGUCACUCCCAGCAGCACUCUCCAGGGUAAUUUAUAAAGUUAAGUGCAAUGCUUUCAUCAAUUUCCCAGUUCUAAUUUCUAUCCAUUUACACCGUUAUGUAAUUAUCUCAGUUAAUAUAGAGGCACGGCUUUGUUUGUUUGUUUUCCCUCUUCUUCUUUGCACCGGUCUGAAUCUUCAUCUCUAGUAUAAACACAUACACCCUCAGUUGUUCAGAUGGGCCAACACUAGAUAAAGCUCAACCUCUGUAAACCCCCAGGGAGUCCAUGUGUCAGAUCAUUGUGGGACCUUUUGGUCAGAUCUGAUACAGCAGAGCAGCGACAGCGAGGAAUCCAAUGAUUCAGUUGAUUUUAUAUCUACCCUGAGUAGUUAUCAAUAAAAUAUGAAUAAUUCAGCAGAUUAGAAAUGGUUCUUUUUUUAUUUUUUUUAACAAGGAUGCAGUUCCAUGAUAAAAAAAAAAACAUAAUUCUCAAGAAGCAAAUGAUUUCUGGAAGACAUGAAAACCCCCAAGCGGAAAACAAUCCUAAUAUUUGUUCAUUUUGAUUGCUCUCGUUAUUUUUGCUCAAGGCCUGGCUUUGCUGGCCAAUAGUGAGUAUUUCUGUAGGAGGGGAUGUGGGUUGUUUACCAGAACCAUUUGCCAUGAAUAAACCCACAAAGAUGUGCUAAAAAUAAAAGGGAGGAAGCAAAAAUAUCCGUAGAAAGAUCAUUA